rnacentral:rRNA from 1 species
GACGAACGCUGGCGGCGUGCUUAACACAUGCAAGUCGAACGAAGAGCGAUGGAAGCUUGCUUCUAUCAAUCUUAGUGGCGAACGGGUGAGGAACGCGUAAUCAACCUGCCCUUCAGAGGGGGACAACAGUUGGAAACGACUGCUAAUACCGCAUACGAUCUAAUCUCGGCAUCGAGGAUAGAUGAAAGGUGGCCUCUACAUGUAAGCUAUCACUGAAGGAGGGGAUUGCGUCUGAUUAGCUAGUUGGAGGGGUAACGGCCCACCAAGGCGAUGAUCAGUAGCCGGUCUGAGAGGAUGAACGGCCACAUUGGGACUGAGACACGGCCCAGACUCCUACGGGAGGCAGCAGUGGGGAAUCUUCCGCAAUGGACGAAAGUCUGACGGAGCAACGCCGCGUGAGUGAUGACGGCCUUCGGGUUGUAAAGCUCGGUUAAUCGGGACGAAAGGCCUUCUUGCGAACAGUUAGAAGGAUUGACGGUACCGGAAUAGAAAGCCACGGCUAACUACGUG